CCUACGGGUGGCAGCAGUAGGGAAUCUUCCACAAUGGGCGAAAGCCUGAUGGAGCAACGCCGCGUGGGUGAAGAAGGUCUUCGGAUCGUAAAACUCUUUUGUUAGAGAAGAAAGUGCGUGAGAGUAACUGUUCACGUUUCGACGGUAUCUAACCAGAAAGCCACGGCUAACUACGUGCCAGCAGCCGCGGUAAUCCGUAGGUGGCAAGCGUUCUCCGGCGUUAUUGGGCGUAAAGGGCACGCAGGCGGUCUUUUAAGUCUGAUGUGAAAGCCUUCGGCUUAACCGGGGUAGUGCAUUGGAAACUGGGAGACUUGAGUGCAGAAGAGGAGAGUGGAACUCCAUGUGUAGCGGUGAAAUGCGUAGAUAUAUGGAAGAACACCAGUGGCGAAAGCGGCUCUCUGGUCUGUAACUGACGCUGAGGUUCGAAAGCGUGGGUAGCAAACAGGAUUAGAUACCCUAGUAGUC
rnacentral:rRNA from 1 species